rnacentral:rRNA from 1 species
AACGGCGAGUGAAGCGGGAAGAGCUCAAAUUUGAAAUCUUCAAGGUUUUACCUUGACGAAUUGUAGUUUAAAGAAGUGUUUUCUGUUGAAGUUUUGGUAAAAGUUCUUUGGAAUAGGACAUCAUAGAGGGUGAGAAUCCCGUAUUUGACCAUUAUUUUCAGCUGUGUGAUACACUUUCAAAGAGUCGGAUUGUUUGGGAAUGCAGUCCAAAAUGGGUGGUAAAUUUCAUCUAAAGCUAAAUAUUGGCGAGAGACCGAUAGCGAACAAGUACCGUGAGGGAAAGAUGAAAAGAACUUUGAAAAGAGAGUUAAACAGUACGUGAAAUUGUCAAAAGGGAAGCGUUUGACACCAGUGUUGUUUUCUCGAAAAUCAAUUAAAAAGAGUUGGAUUUUGUGUUGUAUUGACCUUAACAGCUUUCUGCACUCUUUUCCUGCUUUUUUUAAUGCACUUUUCGUUUAACAAGUCAACAUCAGUUUCUUUUGUUGUAAAAGGGUCAUUGGAAGGUGGCUUUCUUUUCGGAGAAAGUGUUUAUAGCCUUUGAUCUCUGCAAUCGGAGAGACUGAGGUCUGCAGCGUAGAUCCUUCGGGGUUAGAUACAUUUGUGCUAAGUUAUAACUUUUCAUAGACAACUUGUUGACUAUGUUUAGUCAUGUAGCUUACUCGCUUAUGCUAUUUACCUAC